AUUGAACGCUGGCGGCAUGCCUUACACAUGCAAGUCGAACGGCAGCACGGGAGCAAUCCUGGUGGCGAGUGGCGAACGGGUGAGUAAUAUAUCGGAACGUGCCCAGUCGUGGGGGAUAACUACUCGAAAGAGUGGCUAAUACCGCAUACGACCUGAGGGUGAAAGCGGGGGACCGUAAGGCCUCGCGCGAUUGGAGCGGCCGAUAUCAGAUUAGCUCGUUGGUGGGGUAAAAGCCCACCAAGGCGACGAUCUGUAGCUGGUCUGAGAGGGCGACCAGCCACACUGGGACUGAGACACGGCCCAGACUCCUACGGGAGGCAGCAGUGGGGAACUUUGGACAAUGGACGCAAGUCUGAUCCAGCCAUGCCGCGUGCGGGAAGAAGGCCUUCGGGUUGUAAACCGCUUUUGUCAGGGAAGAAACGAGUUUCUCUAAUACAGAGACUUAAUGACGGUACCUGAAGAAUAAGCACCGGCUAACUACGUGCCAGCCGCCGCAGUAAAAC
rnacentral:rRNA from 1 species